rnacentral:rRNA from 1 species
AAGUGGAACCUAAAUAUCCUAAAGGCACCAAAUCCUGACUGAUUUUGCAAGCUAAGUAGGAUCAGCUCUGGUUAGUACAUGGAUGGGAGAUCACCAAUAAAUACCAUACAGUGCAGGCU